GAAUUAUUUCUGAUUUAAAAUGCUAUUUCUGUUAUCUUCAGCGAGAAGGCAGUCCAGGAAGAAGCAGAAACGUAUGGUGGUUUCAAUUGAAAAGCCCAGUAGAGGCAGACAGCAGAUUUGCAUCAUGGGGACAAACCAGUUGUUGAGCCAUGUAACCAGGGAACAGGUACAGACAUGUCACACAUUGUUAUUGUCACAACCCGAUUGUCAUUUCUGUUUCGUAUUUUAGAGGACCAUGUUAAUCGUAUGGGAUCUGUUCUGCCGUGUAAUCCCACCAGGUUCAAAGUUGAAGAACUGCCCAAGUGUUGCAAUAUCACGGAGGUUCAUACAGCGCUUGAAAUAUAGAGAAGUUAAUAUGUUUACAGAAUUUGUUCCAGAAAUGGGGGCGGCGGGGUAGCCUAGUGGUUAAAGCGUUCGCUCAUCACGCUGAAGACCCGGGUUCGAUUCCCCACAUGGGUACAAUGUAUGAAGCCCAUUUCUGGUGUUCCCCGCCGUGAUAUUGCUGGAAUAUUGCUAAACAUGGCGUAAAACCAUACUCACUCACUCAUUGUUCCAGAACUGUUUUUUAGAACUAUUAAUAUCCAGCUUCUCGUGGAACAUACAGCCAUGAACUUGCUGAAUUGUUGAAUGACAGCCUCCAUGAAAAAACCUUGGAUAUGCCACUUGGCAAUUCAAGAAGGCCUCAA